CCUACGGGUGACAGCAGUGAGGAAUAUUGGUCAAUGGGCGCGAGCCUGAACCAGCCAAGUCGCGUGAAGGAUGACUGCCCUACGGGUUGUAAACUUCUUUUAUAAAGGAAUAAAGUGAGGCACGUGUGCCUUUUUGUAUGUACUUUAUCAAUAAGGAUCGGCUAACUCCGCGCCAGCAGCCGCGGUAAUACGGAGGAUCUGAGCGUUAUCCGGAUUUAUUGGGGUUAAAGGGAGCGUAGAUGGGUUGUUAAGUCAGUUGUGAAAGUUUGCGGCUCAACCGUAAAAUUGCAAUUGAUACUGGCAGCCUUGAGUACAGUUGAGGUAGGCGGAAUUCGUGGUGUAGCGGUGAAAUGCGUAGAUAUCACGAAGAACACCGAUUGCGAAGGUAGCUUACUAAACUGCCACUGACAUUGAUGCUCGAAAGUGUGGGUAUCAAACAGGAUUAGAUACCCGAGUAGUC
rnacentral:rRNA from 1 species